GACGAACGCUGGCGGCGUGCUUAACACAUGCAAGUCGAACGGAAAGGCCUGCUUUCCCUUGUGGAUUGCGGGUACUCGAGUGGCGAACGGGUGAGUAACACGUGAGUGAUCUGCCCCCAACUUGGGUAUAAGCCUGGGAAACUGGGUCUAAUUCCCGAUAGGACUGCAGGGUGGUGCCUGUGGUGGAAAACGAUUAUCUAGUGGUUGGGGAUGAGCUCGCGGCCUAUCAGCUUGUUGGUGGGGUAAUGGCCUACCAAGGCGGCGACGGGUAGCCGGCCUGGGAGGGGGGACGGCCACAGUGGGACAGAGAUACGGCCAAGACUCAUACGGGAGGCAGCAGUGGGGAAUAGUGCACAAUGGGCGGAAGCCUGAUGCAGCGACGCCGCGUGGGGGAUGACGGCCUUCGGGUUGUAAACUCCUUUCGACCGCGAGGAAGCCACCUGGUUGGAAGGGUGGUGACGGUAGUGGUAGAAGAAGCACCGGCUAACUACGUG
rnacentral:rRNA from 1 species